AUAUUCCUCAUUUAAAUAAUUCCCGCAAAAUAAAGGGGCGGGGCCUGGUUGAGUUAGUUAGUAGUGUUUCAGAAAUGCACUAUUAGCAAUUAGCAAUUCUUUUACAUGAAAGAGAAAGUGAGAGUAUUGAGCUGGUCAUGUGAUCUCAACAUGGCAGCACUUUUAUUAGGAUACUAAUGUAACAUCUGCAUCACAUCAGAGUGUACAUGAUUUUAAACCCAUUUCUCAAAAAACAUUAACAAAUGCUCUAAAAAAUAUAUUGUUUCAUUGCUUAUGCAUUAACGAAAUGUUUCCAUAUUUACCAUUAUUAUUACCAUAUUAUCUUCCAGGUUAAAACUUUUUAAUGGGUUCAGUUUUAACAUUAUUUACAAUCGUAUACAAUCAAAAAUAUUCUGCAAUGCAAUAUAACGACACAUGUAUCAUGUUUCCUCAUGCACAAUCAAUGCAACCCCUCUUCAAAAUAACAUUUGUGUAAAAUAUAGCAGUUGAUAUUGUUUCAGCAUUUGACAAGCACAAAGAGGAUAUUUAAACAUCAUUGUGUUUGAAUGAUAAAAGCACUGAGGAUUCAAAACAAUAAAUUACAGCAUCGGGAACGAUGCAAAAUCAGUCCAGGAAGUGGUCAAAAGCAAGUGAAAAUACACACAUAUUAUUACCACCAAAAUGACGAUGAGUGCGAAAAAUAUAGUCUGUGCCCUCAUGUACGAGCUGCGUUUCUUCCGUUCAGCAUCUUGCCCUUUUUUCUUCAUAAUCCCACCUGUGUAGGUUUACAAUAUCCAGCAAAAACAGCCCACGGCCUUGGUUUUUUGUCCCCGCAACUGUUGCAAACAAUCCGUACCCUCGGCUCCACCUUCGUUUCAGGCCUGGGCAAUGUUUUAACAGGCCCUCGGGGAGAGACGGGACAAAUGCACGACGGAGAAAAGAAAGAAAAUAUGGAGGUGAGUGAGAAACAAAAGACGGCUUUAUAAGAGACUCUUUGAGCAGCUUUGUUUGGUGGUCUUUGCAGGCUCAUAGAUGUGGUGUGACGGGUCGUCAUGGAGCAGGUGGCUCUCCUCUGAUGCUUACACCUCCCAUCCACCCUUGGGACCCUGAAUGCACGGCUGAUGAAAUCUCACAGGUGUGGACAGGUCUGGAGUCAGCAGCCACCAUGGAUACGCUAAUACUGCUUUUACUGCAUGCAGGCACAUCCAGACUCUCCCUGUCUGAGCGACCUGCCUACAGGCUAUUGUGACCGGUUUGCCCUGCUGCGUCUCCCUGAAUCUUCAUCCCUUCAACAAUGGCAGGGGUCAGCAGGGGUCGUCAGGGGUGUAGGACCCCAGGGAAACGGCAUCUCGUGCUUCCCUCAAGCACUUCCUGUGCAUGUCACUCCAGAGCCAGGCCCGUGUCUCUGAUCAAAGGCCAAAAACAGGAGAAGACAACAGGGUGACACUGACAUGUCUGCACGCUGAAGGAUGUCCUGAGCAGGGUGGGGUGAAUUGUGAUUUGGCUUCUCAGAAGCCCCUGCAUCCUCAACCCGGGAACCCUGCGGCAGGGCUGACCAUCACCAUGGCAACUCAAGCACGGGUCUCAUGGAAAGGAUGGAAGACAAUAGUGGAGAAGUGACAUCUCAUUCAUUUGUGCUGGUCCAGGUCCAUCCACAUGAUGACACGAGUUCAGCCACGGAUCCAUGUGCCUCGGAGUCGGAGGAUGAUUGAUUCUGUCUGAAAACAACAUUGUGUUUACAAGCCUUUGAGGAAGAACAAUUCACUGGAUUCGACCAUAUUUAUCAGGCGAUUCCAAUAUUCCUCCAGCCGAGAUGUUUUUCUGGAAACACGUACACCUGUCAGAUGGGAAGAGAUUUCAUCAAAGAGACAUGUGUGCCACAGAAGGCCGAACAAUGCUGUUUAUUAUCUGUGAAUGACAGGCUUCGCAGCCAACGAACAAACACCCUCUCAUCGGUUUGGCCGGAACUCAAAGAAUCUCACAUGUGGAGACGUCAUGGAAAAGGGUUGAAGUUCUAGUCGUCACAUGUGGACGAUGGCGUGAAACACUGCGGUACUGUCCGGGAGAAAGCGGGUGUUGAGCGACGGAAAGCUGAGAUUGGAUGAGAGAGUGGGUCACCCUGAGUUUAAAAACAGCCAAGAGACACGUGGGACGCCCGUCUGGUUAUUAAAGGCCGUUUAUACCAACCAGACGCAUGAAAGAGCUAUUCAUUAACCCUGAUGUUUACAUGGUGACUAAGGCUGAAGGAAUCUGUCGAUUCAACUCAACCUGCUUGAGCUCAAUGAAACUCAGUGCUGGUUUGGCACCGUAAACCGUAAAGGCCAUUAAUGCUUUACAACAGCGAUUGUAUGUGAUGACCGAAAGUAACGAUUGCACUAUUGAUGCUCUCGGCAUCCUUCAAACUGGUUAUUCUGAUGCGAUGCAAUCGCGUUUAAUGAAUAAUUCACCCCGAAAUUAAAUUGUUGUAAUUAUUUACUUGUCCUCAUAUCGUUUUGUUGUCAUUGCAUAGAAAAAAAAGCUGCCUCAGAAGUUCUCCUUUUGAUUUUUGGGUUUGGAUUGUUAAUUAGUAAAUCAUUUUUGGGAAUUAUGUGAAGAAUCUGUACAAUUGAUAAUCGUGUUCUUGAUAUGAUGUAUUACGCACUUGUAGCCUAUUUAACUCUUUCCUCUCCGUUUUAAAGGCAAGAAAUCUAAUUCCCAAUGUGUUUUGAUGGUUAACACUAUGCAAGCAAUACUGUAGGAUUUCUAAUCAGGCACUAAACAGGAUACGCCAAUGAAAUCAGUUGAGUCUUUUGAGGGGAUUGCUUGAUAUUGGACUGAUUUUGUUAAACUGGAGACAUACAGAAGUAGCUAAAAUAAAGCAAAUAAACAAUGAAAGAUGGUAAUAGCUCUUGUUUGCACAUUCUUAUGAAGAUUCCUGCCCAGUUUGACAGUCUAUGGACAGUCAACUGAAAACGGAAAACAUUUAAUGCAUUUUGGCCAUUCAUUUACACGACAAUGGUGUUUUGAGGGACUUAAAAUGCAAACUUUUGAAAACAGGUUUCAAAGUGCA